CAUGUAGGCGGAUUAAUAAGUUUGAAGUGAAAUCCUAUAGCUUAACUAUAGAACUGCUUUGAAAACUGUUAAUCUAGAAUGUGGGAGAGGUGGAUGGAAUUUCUGGUGUAGGGGUAAAAUCCGUAGAGAUCAGAAGGAAUACCGAUUGCGAAGGCAAUCUACUGGAACAUUAUUGACGCUGAGAUGCGAAAGCGUGGGGAGCAAACA
rnacentral:rRNA from 1 species